GAUGAACGCUGGCGGCGUGCCUAAUACAUGCAAGUCGAGCGAACAGACGAGGAUCUUGCUCCUCUGACGUUAGCGGCGGACGGGUGAGUAACACGUGGAUAACCUACCUAUAAGACUGGGAUAACUUCGGGAAACCGGAGCUAAUACCGGAUAAUAUAUUGAACCGCAUGGUUCAAUAGUGAAAGACGGUUUUGCUGUCACUUAUAGAUGGAUCCUCGCCGCAUUAGCUAGUUGGUAAGGUAACGGCCUACCAAGGCAACGAUGCGUAGCCGACCUGAGAGGGUGAUCAGCCACACUGGAACUGAGACACGGUCCAGACUCCUACGGGAGGCAGCAGUAGGGAAUCUUCCGCAAUGGGCGAAAGCCUGACGGAGCAACGCCGCGUGAGUGAUGAAGGUCUUCGGAUCGUAAAACUCUGUUAUUAGGGAAGAACAAAUGUGUAAGUAACUAUGCACGUCUUGACGGUACCUAAUCAGAAAGCCACGGCUAACUACGUG
rnacentral:rRNA from 1 species